rnacentral:rRNA from 1 species
ACAGCAGUAGCCGCGGGAAUACGUAGGGGGCGAGCGUUGUCCGAAGUUACUGGGCGUAAAGAGCGCGUAGGCUGGUCUUUAAGUGAGUGGUGAAAGGUUCGGGCUCAACCCGGACACUGCCUUUCAUACUGGGGACCUUGAGUGUGGGAGAGGCGAGUGGAAUGGUCGGUGUAGCGGUGAAAUGCGUAGAUAUCGAUCGGAACACCCAUGGCGAAGGCAGCUCGCUGGCCUAACACUGACGCUGAGGCGCGAAAGCGUGGGGAGCAAACAGGAUUAGAUACCCCCGUAGUCCCUGUCUCUUAUAC